UACGGAGGAUCCGAGCGUUAUCCGGAUUUAUUGGGUCUAAAGGGUGCGCAGGCGGGGGAUUAAGUCGGCGGUGAAAUUUUGCAGCUCAACUGUAAAAGUGCCUUCGAAACUGGUUUCCUUGAGUGUAGAUGAAGUAGGCGGAAUUUGUGGUGUAGCGGUGAAAUGCAUAGAUAUCACGAGGAACUCCGAUUGCGCAGGCAGCUUACUAAACUACUACUGACGCUCAGGCACGAAGGCGUGGGGAUCAAACAGGAUUAGAUACCCCGGUAGU
rnacentral:rRNA from 1 species